rnacentral:rRNA from 1 species
AAUCAACGCUGGCGGCGUGCCUCAGACAUGCAAGUCGAACGAGAACCUCCCUUCGGGGAGGGGACGAGUGGCGCACGGGUGAGUAACACGUGGGUAAGUUUACCUUUGGGUGGGGAACGAACAGCCGGAAACGGCGUGCUAAUACCGCAUAAUGCAGCGGCUCGACAUCGAGACAGUUGUUAAAGCGGGGAUCGCAAGACCUCGCGCCUGAAGAGAAGCCUGCGGCGGAUUAGCUAGNGGUAGGGUAAUGGCCUACCAAGGCGACGAUCUGUAACCGGCCUGAGAGGGGCGGUC